rnacentral:sRNA from 1 species
GUCGACCAAAAGGUCGCGGCUAUUAAAAACAGAUUGCUCUUACAAAUAGAUCGCUCUUAA